GUAUAAUGUAUAUGUUAACUGUGCUUUAAUCGUAAGUUUUGAGUUGCUGUUAUGAUAAAACACACUUCACCUAAAAGGUAGUUUUUUAACAACUUAGAUGCAAAGUUCAUAGCAUUCAGUACAUUUGUAUUGUUAUAUAUAGUCAUUGCAUACAUACAUCUCCAGAAACUAUGUAAAAUUCAUUUUCCAUCUUAUUACCCCCCUCAAACAUCUUAAAGAAAGAAAAUGAUUUACCCAUCUUCUACAAUGUGUGCUAACAAUCAUUUGGUAAAAGGAAAGUAAAACUGUGGAAACCGUUAUUAAAUCUAUGACUUAAAUUUUAAAAAAACAUAAUCCUACUAAUUAGUGCUUUGAGUUUUUUAAGCUUUUCCAAUUUUUGUUUUAGUAUGUAUUAAGUAUGGUUAAUAUUUACUUAAUCCUUAACCAGAGUAUUUUUAUAAUACUUUAAUAAAUUCCUUCAGAACAGCAUGUAUUUGUAGUAUGUUUUGGUCUGUUGCUUCCUCCAUCCUAGCACAUAACAGACCAACAAGGCAGAGUCCCGUUAAAUAUUUGUGAGGAAAACAAAUGAAGUAACUGGGAAGAAGCUGCAAGGUUGUUGAAAGAUGUUAUUAACAAACCAGUACGAAUUGUCCGAACAGCUGGAGGCAAAUGUGUAAACUGAUCAUUUUCUGUUGCUUGUUUCACUCUCUACUCUCUUGGGGGCUGGCCACCCAGCUCCCAAAUAAGCAUACACCUGGUCUUCUUUCUUAUCAACGCCAGACCUUAGCUUAGCUUCUUUCUAGCUAGCUCUUCUUAAAUCAUCCCGUCUAUCUUUUGCCUCGGGCUUUUACCUUUCUCUAUUUCUGUAUAACUUUUCUUUCAGUCUUACUCCAUGGCUUGCUGUGUAGCAGGGUUACUGGCCCCUGAUGUCUUCCUCUCCUUGGUCUCUUGUGUCCUUCUUUUCCCUCCAGAUUUCUCCUUCUCUUUAUUCUCUUAGUCUGCCAGCCCCUCCUAUCCUUUCUCCCGCCUCUCUGUUGGCCAUUCAGCUUUUUAUUAGGCCAUCAAGUUUUUUAGACAGGCCAAGAAUCACAACUUCACAGAGUUAACAAAUGCAACAUAAAAGAAUGCAACACAUCUUUGCACCAAAUUAUAUAUGAUUGUAUUUACUAUGUUUAAUAUAAGUAGUUCUGCUCAUUUAUGUGUAUUUUCCUCCAGCAACGUUUGUUUGUAAAUAGCAGAAUUAUACACCAUUCAUUAAUAAUCUUCAGCAAGUUGGUGUAUGAGGAACUCAUUUUCCUCUCCACAAAAGUGAACUAGGUGCUUUUCUAGUUUUGUGUACGUGUGUGCAUGCAUACGUAUAUUGUGUGGUUGGUUGUGCUCAUGUGGAGACCAGAGGGUAAUGUUAGGAAUCUUUCUUCACCACUCUCCACUUGUUUUUUGAGACAGGGUCUCCCUCUAAAACUAAAGCCAACCAUUGUGUCUAGCUUCCAGGACCCUCCUUUCUUCCCUCCUCUAAUCUACCAACUCUGGGGUUAGAGACACAAGCAGCCAUUCCCAGGUCCGGGCGGGGGCUGGAGGUGGGUGUCCCUACUAGCGCCAGGCUGCCGUGGGGGGGGGGGGAGAGGAGAGGGCGGCUUUUAGCCGCCGAGGCAGGCAAGGUGGGCGGGCAAGCCUUGCACUGCUGGCCGCUGGUAUGAGCUCGGAACCCAGCGUGCGAGCCCAGGCCACCUCCAUCCCCGCAGCCUCCAGGUCCCCGCCCCCGUUGCCCCCGCUCCGCUCCCGGCAUCGGAGACCGUGGAUAAAUCGGAGAGGCGAGCGCGGGGAGACAGAGCGCGCGGGCGCCGGCAGCAGGCUGGCCGAGCCCCUUUUCCACGGUCGCGCUUGAAGGUGGCGCAGUCUAGGCAGCCUAGGCAUGGAGCAGUCACCAUGCGCUAGAGAGUCCGCCAGCCAGUGCCCUGCCUGCCUCUUCCCGUGCGCCCUCCCGCAGAUGUCGGCGCCCUGGAUUGGUCCCCUGGCCUCUGCCUGCAGCCCUGCCACAACCUCUAGGCCGGCCAGGAGGGCACUGAUCUCCGUUAGCGAAGAUGGCUCGUGGCUGCCUGCUGGCCUUGACUCUCACACUUUUCCAGUCUUGCCUGACCGACCCCUCGAGCCAGGAGCCCUUCCCUUCGGCCGUCAGCCUUGAUGAUGAGUAUGUGGGCCCCUUGCUGAAUGACCUGGAUACUAUUGGCAACGCCGUUCUGUCUCCGAACCUCACUGGCGUCUCUUCUGCUCCUUAUGGGAUCUUGUCAAGUCUGGAAAACACAACUAAAUAUUUCCAGAGGUAUUUAUUAAAAGAAAAUGCUAAGAAGAUUCGGGCAGAAAUGCAGCUUGAAGGUGUUGCACAACAAACAGAAAACCUGCAAAAGGAGAUCACUAGAGUCUUAGCAAGCAGUCAGCAGGUGAAUAAAGCAACGACAAGAACUGUCAAUGGGACUCAAGCCCUGGCCACGUUCAUUGAGCAGCUGCAUGCCAACAUCAAAGACAUCAUGGAAAAGGUGGCAGCGUUGAAUGAGACCACACGUGGGGACGUCCAGCCACCCAUUUCUGCUCUUCAGAGCAUGCACCAGAACAUUUCUUCUCUGUUGGAACUUACAAAGAAAAGGAAUUUCACAGAGUGGCACCAAAAUGCUACCCUUGAACUCAAGGCUGCUAGAGUUAUUGUCACGAAUUCAGAAGAGGUUCCAGAAGCCCCAGGAAAAGCUGAAGGCAUUGAAGGAGUCAGCCGGUGGCCUCCUUUCAAACCACAGCGAAGAACUGCAGGCUGCAGAGGAGCUCCUGAGGGAAACUGAGACCAAGACCCAGGAGAGCAACCGCCUGCUGCUCCUCGUCAAGGCCAACCUGAGAGAGUUCAGUCCAACAACCCAAGUUUGGAAAAGCUGUUUCCUAUGAAAAACUGGAGAAACUAGGAGAAGGACUUUAUGCAACAGUCUGAAAAGGGAAAAGCAAGUAAGUUAAAUAUUUUAAAGAACAAGUCAAGGGAGAGAGAGAGAGGGCAGCUGAGGCCCUGGAGUCAGAAUGGCAGCAGCGGGAUCGCGCCUGGGUCCCACGCACCAGGCCUUGGGCCAGAGGAGUCAGUGGCUCUGGUGCUGCAUCGCGCCUCAGGCUGGGAAGUUGUCGCGCCUCAGGCUGGGAAGUUGUCGCUCAAGUCUUCCCCUGCCACCUGUGCUGCGGCCUCGUGGCCCUGCCUUACAGAGGAGGGCAGAUGAGCCUGCCCUUGUCUGGGCUGCGCUCUGGACCACUUUCACAAAGUUGACUGGACCCAGCGCCACCCAGAUGUAUGACCUCAUUGAGCCGCAGCCAAGCCAGAAGAUCCGCAGGAUGAAGAACUUUGUCAGAGAGUUUCAGCAGCAUUGAAAAAGCAAAAGCAAAAAGGAGCAUCCAGUUCCUGAACAGCCCGCUGAGGAGAUCGGCUUCUUCGCAGCGGCCCAUAGGGAACGUCUGUGCACAGGAACCUGAACCGACGAGCAGAAGGUUGGCCUUUCCCUGUCUCUGUAAUUCCUUAAACGUAGCAUUGCACAUGUCAAAUUUUCUGUCUUAGAAUUCUUCUUUACCUAUGGUGAAGUCUACAAAUGAUGGAAUUUGUUGGUACCCACAUCACAGUCCCUAGGAGAAGGUGGAGAAAUGCACAGGACCGCAUGCUGCCACUUGGACACGCUCUAUUGCAGCAUCAGGAAGCAUUUGACAGCAGAACUGCUUUUGCAGUUAGAAUAAUGAAUGGCCUGUUCAGUUUAGGUAUUCCUCCCAUUUUAAGUAGAAUACGUAAUUAUACCAUAGAAAUAUGAUUUUAAAAGGACUCAGAUCUAGAAACACUGUUUUUAAACCCAGCGUUCGAGAACAGUGUGCACAGCACUUAAUUGGCAGGAGUACGCAGUGUUCCUGCUCGGAAGGACUCUUCGGACUGUGCUGGACUCAAACCCAUGUUUCCCCUCAGUGGCACACCAUUCUACAGCAAACGUUUUUAUUCUUCUGUUUGCCAGGCUAAUAUGUGUUUGCAAAAUUCAUGUGACAUAAGAAUAUAAGUAGCAAAGGAGAAAGGAUUCAGAAGUUCCUCUCUGCCUACUUCACAAACGAUGACCGAGCUGGGAGUGUGCAGGGGUAGAGUGUCCCCUAUCAUGCACGGGGUUCUGGGUUCCGUGCAAGGCACUGAAUAGAAAUUAAACAGAAGUAAAAGUAAUGGCUUCCAAGCAAAUAUGAAUAAGUUUUAUAGAUAGUAGAAAUUCUGUGGGAUUUUAAGUGUUUCCAUAUGUCAUUAUUUCAAAAGAUGACAUUACACAAAGUUUAAUGUUUUGUUUGGGAUCACUUGUGACUCAUCAUUGGAGAGCCGCUCCAGAGACAGCUGUGUGAUCUGUGAGGUCUGUCCUUAUAAUUGAGCCCUUCCAGAGAUAGCGUGUGAUUUGUGAGGUCUGUCCUUAUAAUUGAGCAGUAAAGCCCAAAAUGCCUGCCAAGUAUUUCCUCUGUCUUUAGGGCGAGUGACACAAGUAAGAAACAAAGAAGUUGCUGACAGAGGAAAAUGACACAAAAGAACCAGGACAUUUCUUUAUUAGUACCAGAUGGAAGGAGCCAGGCAGAGAGGAAAGGCUGCUGGUGGAGGCUUCCCUGGACAACAGCAGUGUGGAGGAAAGAGAAUAUUUACCAAUUGUAAAAGCCACCCUAUUGGCAAGAAUGAAGUAACUAUCCAGGGACAGCACAAGAAAAUACAGUAGCAUGCUGGGAAUAUUGUAUGGUGACUAACGUCCUUGGGCUGCCCAGGAUCUUAAAAUUCUCGGCAGCGCGCACCACGUUCCUCUCACUUCUGCCCUACACUGCCAUCUAGUGGACGAUGGUCUGCCCGUUCCUUGGCGAAUCUGCUUCAGAGGAUGUGAUUGAUGGUCUGGGCUUAGGAACUGAGGUUCUGUCAUUUGAGACACAACAAUCUGUGUUGUGAGACGGCCACUUGUUGGUUCCCAGCUGCUCAGCCCUGAAAACCACACAAACUAUAUUAUUAAAAUCACUG